GAUGAACGCUGGCGGCGUGCUUAACACAUGCAAGUCGAGCGAAGCGCUUAAGUUUGAUUCUUCGGAUGAAGACUUUUUGUGACUGAGCGGGCGUACGGGUCAAGGUACGCGUAGGUAACGUGCCUCAUACAGGGGGAUAACAGUUACGAAAUGACCUGCUAAUACCGCAUAAGACCCACGACGGGUCGCACUGACCCGGGUGGUAAAAACUCCGGUUGGUAUGAGAUGGAUCCCGCGUCUGAUUAGCUAGUUGGUGGGGUAACGGCCCACCAAGGCGACGAUCAGUAGCCGACCUGAGAGGGUGACCGGCACAUUGGGACCUGAGACACGGCCCAA
rnacentral:rRNA from 1 species